UACGGAGGGGGCUAGCGUUGUUCGGAAUUACUGGGCGUAAAGCGCGCGUAGGCGGACCUGCAAGUCGGGGGUGAAAGCCCGAGGCUCAACCUCGGAACUGCCUUCGAUACUGCGGGUCUCGAGUCCGGGAGAGGUGAGUGGAAUUCCUAGUGUAGAGGUGAAAUUCGUGGAUAUUAGGAAGAACACCAGUGGCGAAGGCGGCUCACUGGCCCGGUACUGACGCUGAGACGCGAAAGCGUGGGGAGCGAACAGG
rnacentral:rRNA from 1 species